UGUCCCACAUAUAUUGCCUAAGAUUUACAAUAUAAAAAAUGGCACAUGGCAACGCACUAGGUCAGGGGUCGGCAACCAAUGACUCCAGAGCCACGUGUGGCUCUUUCAUCCUUCUGUUGUGGCUCCCAGUGACUUUGGGAAAUAGAAUAUUUUAUUUUUAGCGCACUGAUUUAUUGACUUUUUGACCCUUGCCUGGAAGAUACAUCAUGAAUAAAUCCAAGAAAAGGAAACAUUCUGAAGAUGGCAGAACAUUGAAUGGACUGAUCAUUUUUGCUUUCACCGCUGAUGAAACUGGUUCACCAGUCUGCUUAAUAUGUGGCGAAAGACUGGCAAACAACAAGGAGUCAAAUGUUGGAAGACAUUUCGAGAAUAAACACUCUGUCUUUGCUAAAAAAUAUCCCAAGGGAGAGGAGAGAAAAAAGGGUGUUUCGGAGCUGAUGCGGAAGACUGAAGUGAGCAGGAGUCACUUCAAGAAGUGGAUUAAGACUGAUAAUUCCACUACAUGUGCCAGUUUCAUGGCUACUCAGGAAAUAAUCAAGCAUGGUAAGCCAUUUGCAGAUGGAGAUUAUCUCAAAGAAACAUUUGUUAAGAUUUCAGAACAUCUUUUCUUGUCAAAGUUCAAGAGUUUGACAGCUGAUCCUGAAAAUGUGUGCCUUCGAAGGCCGUUCUCGCUCAGAAUCACAAAUGGAGCGAAGUGGCAAACCUUCCCAAAAAGGACAAAUUUGUAUUUGAAACAUGGAAUGCCAUCCCCGACAGCUACAUCAACAUGAAGAGGUAUGCAUUUGGAGUCCUUGCAAUCUUCGGAUCCACACACAUCAGCAGCAACAUGAACUUUAUUAAAAACGAGCGCCGCUCACACCUCACAGACGUCAGCUUACGCUCCUGUUUGAAGACGAAGGUGACAUCUUACAGCCCUGACAUGAAGACGCUAUGCGGCAAGGUUCAGGAGCAAAAAUCACAUUAACCAGAUAAAAUAAAUAUUUUAAUUAGCUAUUGUUUUACAUAUGUGUGCUUGGUUGUCUGGAAUAUAACAGUCAAAUAUAAAUACAUAACUAUAUAUUGUUAAGUGAAAUAGUUAUUUAUUUUUUUUAAUUCAGGAGGACAGGUGACCGCACACACGCGAUGGGACACAGAAGAAGACUGCGCAUGUUUUGGUUUGCAUGGUUCGUUCAGUGCCGGAGGAUGAUAUUUUAUCAUUUAGCAUUCUGUUUCUAUUUUUUCUUCAUUGCAGGUUGGGUAAGUUUCGAUUUUUAUUUCUUAAAUACAAAGACCCAAAUAGACAGAGGGUAUUUUGUUUGAAAUUGAGCAUCAACAAAGUGUAUAAUGCGUUUGGUUACAUGCAGAAAUAACAUUUUGUGUUCUCUGCAGCAGUUCGUUGAUUUCAUAAACGCAACAUAGUAUCGAUUUUUGUACAUAGCAUAUAGGUUCUAUAUAUAUAUAUGUAACGGAUAUUAGAUACAAAAGUUGAAAUUCUUGCUAAAAUGUGUUUGGUAAACAUCUUUGUAUAUAUUUUAUAACUGCCUUGGGAUGAGUGGUGUUUGGCGCCCCCUACUGGCUGCCUAUAAAUAAGAGGGGAAACCAGAAAUUCCACACAGACGGUUUUGCACUCUUAUGUGGUAAGUCAUCAGGUCUGGUUCUCCUCUGACUUGUUUUUGUGAUUUUGUUCGGGGACUAAAUUGGAGUGUUGUUGCAGUGCACAGAGAACAGGUGGACUAGUAGGGGAGGCUGACGGGAUGUUUUUGUCGACCACUCAUUGCAGGUUGUAAAAUAAACCACUUACAAUCCAACCCACUGUCCACGCGAGUCUGUAUGACAGGACCGGUAAAAAGGAAGCUGUUACAUUGGUGCCGUGACCUUGGACUUCAAUCAAGCUCAUCGAACCUGUGACCGUCCUGUCUUUAUUAUUCGUUUAUUCCAACCACCCUGGCGAUGCCAGGAAGGUCGAUGAGAGUCAGGUCCGGUACGUCCGGGGAAGCGAUUUCCAGAGUGAUGAG